rnacentral:rRNA from 1 species
UACGUAGGAUGCAAGCGUUGUCCGGAAUUAUUGGGCGUAAAGAGCGCGCAGGCGGUAUGACAAGUCAGAUGUGAAAGAGGCCGGCUUAACCGGCAAGGGUCAUUUGAAACUGUCAGACUAGAGUGCAGCAGAGGAUAGUGGAAUUCCCGGUGUAGUGGUGAAAUGCGUAGAUAUCGGGAGGAACACCUGUGGCGAAGGCGAGUCCCUGGACAACUUCUGACGCUGAGGCACGAAAGCUAGGGGAGCGAACAGG